rnacentral:rRNA from 1 species
UACGUAGGGGGCUAGCGUUGUCCGGAAUCAUUGGGCGUAAAGCGCGUGUAGGCGGCCCGGUAAGUCCGCUGUGAAAGUCGGGGGCUCAACCCUCGGAAGCCGGUGGAUACUGUCGGGCUCGAGUACGGAAGAGGCGAGUGGAAUUCCUGGUGUAGCGGUGAAAUGCGCAGAUAUCAGGAGGAACACCUAUUGCGAAGGCAGCUCGCUGGGACGUAACUGACGCUGAGGAGCGAAAGCGUGGGGAGCGAACAGG